rnacentral:rRNA from 1 species
CUACGGGAGGCAGCAGGAAGGAAUAUUGGGCAAUGGGCGAAAGCCUGACCCAGCGACACCGCGUGGGGGAAGAAGGCCUUCGGGUUGUAAACCCCUUUU